rnacentral:rRNA from 1 species
UGGUGCCAGCAGGCGGUAAUACGUAGGUGGCAAGCGUUAUCCGGAAUUAUUGGGCGUAAAGCGCGCGUAGGCGGUUUCUUAAGUCUGAUGUGAAAGCCCACGGCUCAACCGUGGAGGGUCAUUGGAAACUGGGAAACUUGAGUGCAGAAGAGGAAAGUGGAAUUCCAUGUGUAGCGGUGAAAUGCGCAGAGAUAUGGAGGAACACCAGUGGCGAAGGCGACUUUCUGGUCUGUAACUGACGCUGAUGUGCGAAAGCGUGGGGAUCAAACAGGAUUAGAUACCCUGGUAGUCCCAA